GAGAGCUUGCUCUCUGGGUGGCGAGUGGCGGACGGGUGAGGAAUACAUCGGAAUCUACUCUGUCGUGGGGGAUAACGUAGGGAAACUUACGCUAAUACCGCAUACGACCUACGGGUGAAAGCAGGGGAUCUUCGGACCUUGCGCGAUUGAAUGAGCCGAUGUCGGAUUAGCUAGUUGGCGGGGUAAAGGCCCACCAAGGCGACGAUCCGUAGCUGGUCUGAGAGGAUGAUCAGCCACACUGGAACUGAGACACGGUCCAGACUCCUACGGGAGGCAGCAGUGGGGAAUAUUGGACAAUGGGCGCAAGCCUGAUCCAGCCAUACCGCGUGGGUGAAGAAGGCCUUCGGGUUGUAAAGCCCUUUUGUUGGGAAAGAAAUCCAGCCGGCUAAUACCUGGUUGGGAUGACGGUACCCAAAGAAUAAGCACCGGCUAACUUCGUGCCAGCAGCCGCGGUAAUACGAAGGGUGCAAGCGUUACUCGGAAUUACUGGGC
rnacentral:rRNA from 1 species